UUUUUUUUUUUGUCGAACGAAAUACCACAAAGAGCCAGCGUUUCGUGACCAUUGUAGAUUGCACAGUGCUACCAAUUGUAGAUUGUAUUUAUUCGAUGUAUAUAGCUCCGUGCCAUUAUAUCGGGCAGUAACAAAACGCGAGGUCACCGAACUCCGAGCGCAGCGUGUUUUGAUAAAGUCGCCAAUUCACUAUUCGCGAUUUUUUUUUUUUUCUCUCCCAGCGAGACGCGGUUACAGUUAAAAAGCAGCACGGCCAAACGCGAACCGUUUUAAUUACUUCAUAGACACGUAGUUGUAGUAAAAAUUUACCGUUGAUGGAAAGUGAUAUGACGAGCUCGACCAGAUUCCUUAUUUGAGCUGCACAUUUUUUUUUUCUUUCUCGAAAAUCGUGACCGUUAUUUUCAACUUGCAAUGGCGCGGAUGGCAUAGUAGCUACGGAAUUUUGAUUGUGGAACGUUAAAUUGAAUAUAUCGUUCAGUACAGUCUUGAUGUAAAUUAAACUAUCGCUAUUCUGUCUGUGGCACGGUUCGCGUACAGUCGAGUAUAAAAUCAGUUUGCGUUAAAUAUAAUUUAUUUUCACUUUCGUGUAAAGAUAAAACUAAUAUUUCACGAUACCAGAGGCAUUUCGACUUUUGCAAAUAAAAUAUAUCUAUUUAUGCGGUAGGCAGCGGCUUGGUUUUGCCCCUGGUAUUGCUGAAGUCCAUGGUCGACGGUAACCAUUCACCGUAUGUCCGUCUGUCUACAAGUGCAAAAAAAAAAAAAAAAUUACAUGCUAUACGCAUAUUAUUAUGAAUAUAUAUAAAAUACCUUCAUUUUUCUAAAAUGAAGGCCCGAGUGUAUGAUUUAUUAAACAGAAUUUUCAAACAAUUAUUUAGACCUAAUAUAGCUUUACUACAAAUAUAAUUAAAAAUAAGUCUUAAGUUGAGCGGCGCCAUUUACGUUGUUGAUGUCUAUGGGCUCCGGACUUAACACUAUUUUGGCCGUCAAUUCCUAUACUUAUCUUAGCAACUAGCGACCCGCCCUUGCUUCGCUUCGGAAACAUUAAAACACACAUGAAACCAAAAAAAAAAUAAUUAAAAAAAAUAUUUAAAAAAGUAGCCUAUGUUCAUCAGGGACAAUGUCGGCUUCUAAUGGAAAAAUAAUUUUUCAAAUCGGUCCAGUAGUUUCGGAGCCUAUUCGAAACAAACAAACAAAUCUUUCCUCUUUAUAAUAUUAGUAUAGAUAUAGAUAUAGAUAAAAAAAGACGAUCAAUUUGGAUUUAAACGCGUUUUAUUGGACCGUUUUAAUACGCGAGAAUAUUAAUUAAAUACCCCCGAGGAUCACUAUAAUAUUUAAGAAUGCAGUUGCAUACUUAAAUAUUAUAGCGAUUCUUGUUUCGAGUAUUCAAAGCGCACAAUGGUGCAAUAAAGUGGAAUAUUCACAUGGAGUCUUAAUUUUUCUCUUACACUAUUUCUAUUCCCUUCACAACUUCAGUUACAAUGGUGAAUCGUAAUAAAUUUAAAAUUUCGAAUGCUUGGUUCGAGAAAAAAUAAAUACAUAACAUUACAUAAAAAAUAUUUUUGGCGACGUUACACAUAAACGUAUUACGAGAGACAGAGAGAGAGAGAGAGAGAGAGAGAGAAAGGGAGAGAGAGAGAAAGAGAAAGGGAGAGAUAGAGAUAGAGAGAGAGAGAGCGAGAGAGAAAGGGAGAGAGAGAUAGAGAGAGAAAGAGAAAGGGAGAGAGAGAGAGAGAGAGAGAGAGAGCGAGAGAGAGAAAGGGAGAGAAAGAGAGAGAGAGAAAGUGUUCUUGAGAGAGCACUCUUUAUUGUACACCAAAAAAAUAAGCAAUGCGAUAUAUUAAAUACAAAAAAGUACAAAUGGCGGUCUUAUCGUAAGAGCCUUCGAUCAACAAUAGUAACUAGAUUUCGGGUCGGUGCAUAAAAUCCGUCUCGUCAAAUAAAAGCGCACUUGAAAUGUGAGCUCUUAUUUUGUUUAGUUCACUUCAAACACAGCCAAUGUCAACCCGUCUCACAAUACCGCAGUGUGUAUUCAAAAGUUGCAAAAAUAAGGCCCGAAAAAGCAAUUUAACGGCCGGAGUAUCUUACUUUCGCUUUCCUAGCAAUCACGUGUGCAGAAUGGAUCUCGAUUGUCGCCAGAGAAAUAAGAGAUGACUUUUAUAAGCCAGCUAAGAACUCCGCUUAUUGACACUGGACAUCUUUGCCUUCCGUGCUCACGGCUACUGAAAUGUGGCCGAAACAUUGUAAUAAAAAUACCACGCUUGAAACCGUUUAAA